UGGUCUGGGCGAAAGUUCUUUGGACCACAGUAGGCGGGAAGAAUUCCC
rnacentral:sRNA from 12 species